CGGGGGGGGGGCAAGCGUUGUUCGGAAUUACUGGGCGUAAAGGGCGCGCAGGCGGCUUGGCCAGUCCUACGUGAAAUCCCACAGCUCAACUGUGGAACUGCGUGGGAUACUGCCCAGGCUUGAGUCCGGGAGAGGAGAGUGGAAUUCCCAGUGUAGCGGUGAAAUGCGUAGAUAUUGGGAGGAACACCGGUGGCGAAGGCGGCUCUCUGGACCGGUACUGACGCUGAGGCGCGAAAGCUAGGGGAGCAAACGGGAUUAGAUACCCCGGUAGUCCUAGCCGUAAACUUUGAGCACUUGGUGUGGCGGGUAUCGACCCCUGCCGUGCCGAAGCUAACGCAUUAAGUGCUCCGCCUGGGGAGUACGGUCGCAAGGCUG
rnacentral:rRNA from 1 species